rnacentral:rRNA from 1 species
GUUAGGAAUAUUGGACAAUGGGCGCAAGCCUGAUCCAGCCAUGCCGCGUGAGUGAUGAAGGCCUUCGGGUUGUAAAGCUCUUUAGCCGAUGAUUAUAAUGACUGUAGUCGGAAAAUAAGCCCCGGCUAACUUCGUGCCAGCAGCCGCGGUAAUACGAAGGGGGCGAGCGUUAUUCGGAAUCACUGGGCGUAAAGCGUGCGUAGGCGGCUUUGCAAGUUGGGAGUGAAAGCCCAGGGCUCAACCCUGGAAUUGCUCUCAAAACUGCAAGGCUCGAAUUCGGGAGAGGAUAGCGGAAUUGUCAGUGUAGCAGUGAAAUGCGUAGAUAUUGACAGGAACACCAGUGGCGUAAGCGGCUAUCUGGACCGAUAUUGACGCUGAGGCACGAAAGCGUGGGGAUCAAACAGGAUUAGAUACCCGAGUAGUCC